rnacentral:rRNA from 2 species
GGUAAUGCCGGAUGCUCCAGUUGAUCGCAUGGUCUUCUGGGAAAGCUUUCGCGGUAUGGGAUGGGGUCGCGUCCUAUCAGCUUGACGGCGGGGUAACGGCCCACCGUGGCUUCGACGGGUAGCCGGCCUGAGAGGGCGACCGGCCACAUUGGGACUGAGAUACGGCCCAGACUCCUACGGGAGGCAGCAGUGGGGAAUAUUGCACAAUGGGCGCAAGCCUGAUGCAGCGACGCCGCGUGAGGGAUGGAGGCCUUCGGGUUGUAAACCUCUUUUAUCGGGGAGCAAGCGAGAGUGAGUUUACCCGUUGAAUAAGCACCGGCUAACUACGUGCCAGCAGCCGCGGUAAUACGUAGGGUGCAAGCGUUAUCCGGAAUUAUUGGGCGUAAAGGGCUCGUAGGCGGUUCGUCGCGUCCGGUGUGAAAGUCCAUCGCUUAACGGUGGAUCCGCGCCGGGUACGGGCGGGCUUGAGUGCGGUAGGGGAGACUGGAAUUCCCGGUGUAACGGUGGAAUGUGUAGAUAUCGG